CAGAACUGUAUCCCUCUUUGAUAGAGCGGAACUUGAUUACUCCCAGAGACCCGCCGGCUAUACCCGUCAACCCUCGGUGGUGGUAUAAGCCUGAUCAGCAUUGUGUGUAUCAUUCGGGUGCUCCGGGCCACGAUGUGGAUAGUUGCUUUCAGUUGAAGAUUAAGGUUCAAGACCUUAUGAGAUCAGGUAUCCUGAGCUUUGAGGACUUAGGUCCCAAUGUUAAUCGAGCUUGA
rnacentral:lncRNA from 1 species